AUGCUAAUCAAGAUGAUCAGUUGUCCUCCAACAGACAAGAGUUCUUUCUCCCACCAAUUCGAAAUAUGGGGCCAUAUUUCGAAAGCAAGGCAGCACCAAAGGACGAUGGCCCAGGCUGUCCUCACGGUGCCCUGUUUCCAUGUUAUUUCCAGCACCUAUUGUGUCCCGGGUUCCUUCUGGGAGCAUUUCCCUCAACCUUUGCGCUAUCCUCCUCCUCAUCAUGUUGUGUAUCUAUAUCCGUAUCGCUCUCUCUCGGAAAGGAGACUCAAAGCGGCGACUAACACUACACACCACAAACAUACAGCUUUGUGCUUCGACUGCCAGGAUCUGAAAGAAAAGAAGGAGAAGCAUGAGGAAAAGUCUGCCCGUAAAGAGAAGAAGGAGAUAGUAGAGGAGGAUGAAAAUGGAGCCGAGGAAGAAGAGGACGAUGAAGAUGCAAAUCCAGAGGAUGAUGAAGACGAAGAUGAAGAAGAUGAAGAGAAUGAACAGGAACCAGACUCACAUGCCAUAAAACGAUCUGCAGAGAAAAAGCAGGAAGAGGUGAGUCAAAACAGUGUUAAGAAUAGCAUACAGGGGGUUGGGUUCUGUUCUGCCGGGGACUGUGUACUAGUCACAACAGGUCCCUUUGUCUUUUCAUAA
ensembl:lncRNA